AGAAAUCCUUCUUUGUGAUACCGGCAGUAACUGUAAUCACAGUAACAGACGAAGGUUAUUUCGAGAGAUGAUCCACGAUUAAAACUAUAUGUCCAGUAGUUUGACAUUCUACUGACCGUGAAUCAGCCAUCUCACGUCAGCGUGUGGGAUUUCUGAUCCACGGGAGCCAUGGCAGUGGCGGUUGUGAAUGUGGACACCCGUCUCCUCAUGCCAGUCACACGGGGUGCACCUGCCGGCUCCUCGUUUCGCUGUCCGGCUGCCACGGCGGCAAUGGUGGCCACGUCGCCAGCACUCGGGCCCCCGCAGGAGCCUGAGCAACUACUUCAUUCUUUUGUCCCGUUGUGGCCGCAUAACUUGACCCAGCAUGGGCAGUUUACUUUGAAGGAUUGUUUUCAGCUUCCUCCGUUCCAGAGCAUGUGGGUCAGCGACGUGGUCGCCAUUUUCAGCGACAUUGUGUGGGCGUAAAGAAUUGCUUAAGCUGACUGACCAUAAAUUUCAACAAGCGAAGCCACACAUACUGUACGUCUUACUGUAAUCAGCACCACCUCGGCCACACACUUGUUGUCAAUCAGCCUUCAUCACUUGCAUUUAAGCCUGCCAGAUCCAAGACUCCACUGCCAGAGUAUUAACGUUCACCUGUGUGCUCCUUCCGUGUUCCCUGCCUUGCUGACCUCUUACACGACCCCGCCAAGCCGUCCAGCCUGCUCACACUACCGCCUGUCGUACGCUCCCUGUCUCAAUGACCCGCAAGUAUGCCUCAAGGAUCCACCUCUGACUUCCUUCACAAUAAACCAUUCUCCACAAAUUUCUUCAACCUCCUCCUGCUUCUGGGUCCAGUUUAAUAUAAUUAAUACCAUCGCAUCGUGACAAAAUACUCUGGCCCCCAUGGA